ACAGUUCACUGGAUAUAAGGUGAUCAACCACUGGCCGAUGAACUCACAAGUGUAGGUAGUGUGCUACAUGAGGGGCAAGUUUUUCGCUAACAUCACAAGGGUCUCUGGCCCAAUGAGUGGAGUUUGAUGGUAAUACUUGCUACAAUG
rnacentral:snoRNA from 1 species